GUGCUUGCUCAGACAGCACAUAUGCACAAAAUGGAACGAUACAGAGAAGAUUAGCAUGGCCCUCGCAAAGGAUGACACGCAAAUUCGUGAAGCGUUACCACACAUAUUUUU